UACAGAGGUCCCAAGCGUUGUUCGGAUUCAUUGGGCGUAAAGGGUGCGUAGGUGGCGCUGUAAGUCGGGUGUGAAAUUUCGGAGCUUAACUCCGAAACUGCAUUCGAUACUGCGGUGCUUGAGGACUGGAGAGGAGACUGGAAUUUACGGUGUAGCAGUGAAAUGCGUAGAUAUCGUAAGGAAGACCAGUGGCGAAGGCGGGUCUCUGGACAGUUCCUGACGCUGAGGCACGGGAGGCCAGGGGAGCAAACGGG
rnacentral:rRNA from 1 species